rnacentral:ncRNA from 1 species
UAUUUUUGCCGAGAUUUUGGUUUUUAUGCUAUUCAAGAAAUUGAGAGCUAAAAUUAAAAGGGAAUCUUGUUAAAUUCAAGAACUGUCCCCGCAACUGUAAGCUAUGCCGUAAAGGUGCUUGUUAUAUUCUUAAACCACUGUUUUUAAAAAUAGUAAAAAUGGGAAGGUAAUAACAAGACGCAAGUCAGGAGACCUGCCACAAUCAUAAAUAUAAA